GACGAACGCUGGCGGCGUGCUUAACACAUGCAAGUCGAGCGAGGCCCCUCCUUCGGGAGGGUGUCCUAGCGGCGAACGGGUGAGUAACACGUGGGCAACCUGCCCUCAGCUCUGGGAUAACUCCGGGAAACCGGGGCUAAUACCGGAUACGACCUCCACGGGCAUCUGCGGAGGUGGAAAGUUUUUCGGCUGAGGAUGGGCCCGCGGCCUAUCAGCUAGUUGGUGGGGUAGUGGCCCACCAAGGCGACGACGGGUAGCCGGCCUGAGAGGGCGACCGGCCACACUGGGACUGAGACACGGCCCAGACUCCUACGGGAGGGAGCAGUGGGGAAUAUUGCGCAAUGGGCGAAAGCCUGACGCAGCGACGCCGCGUGAGGGACGAAGGCCUUCGGGUUGUAAACCUCUUUCAGCAGGGACGAAGCGAAAGUGACGGUACCUGCAGAAGAAGCACCGGCCAACUACGUG
rnacentral:rRNA from 1 species